GAUGAACGCUAGCGGGAGGCUUAACACAUGCAAGUCGUGGGGCAGCACGGUGUAGCAAUACACUGGUGGCGACCGGCGCACGGGUGAGUAACGCGUAUGCAACCUGCCCUGUACAGGGGGAUAGCCCGGAGAAAUUCGGAUUAAUACCCCAUAAAGAUAUUGAGAGGCAUCUUUUAAUAUUUAAAGCUUCGGCGGUACGGGAAGGGCAUGCGUGACAUUAGCUAGUUGGUAGGGUAACGGCCUACCAAGGCUUCGAUGUCUAGGGGUCCUGAGAGGGGGAUCCCCCACACUGGUACUGAGACACGGACCAGACUCCGACGGGAGGCAGCAGUGAGGAAUAUUGGUCAAUGGGCGACAGCCUGAACCAGCCAUCCCGCGUGAAGGAAGAAGGCGCUAUGCGUUGUAAACUUCUUUUCCAGAGGAAUAAAAUUUUGUACGAGUACGGAACUGAAGGUACUCUGGGAAUAAGCAUCGGCUAACUCCGUGCCAGCCGCCGCAGUAAUAC
rnacentral:rRNA from 1 species